GCCUCCCGUCCGCCGCCACUCAGACUCCUACGGAGGCAGCAGUGGGGAAUCGUUGCACAAUGGACGAAAGUCUGAUGCAGCAACGCCGCGUGGGGGAUGGAAGCUUUUCGGAGUUGGUAAACCCCUUUCGAACCCCGGUAAGAAUGCCCGCAACGGGUUUGACGGUACGGGUAUAAGGAAGCCCCGGCUAACCUACGUGCCAGCAGCCGCGGUAAUAC
rnacentral:rRNA from 1 species